rnacentral:tRNA from 1 species
UAUAUAGUGGCAGAAUAGUGCACUAGGUUUAAGCCCUAUUUAUGAUUUUAUCCUAUAUAA